rnacentral:rRNA from 1 species
GACGAACGCUGGCGGCGUGCUUAACACAUGCAAGUCGAACGGAAAGGCCCUGCUUUUGUGGGGUGCUCGAGUGGCGAACGGGUGAGUAACACGUGAGUAACCUGCCCUUGACUUUGGGAUAACUUCAGGAAACUGGGGCUAAUACCGGAUAGGAGCUCCUGUUGCAUGGUGGGGGUUGGAAAGUUUCGGCGGUUGGGGAUGGACUCGCGGCUUAUCAGCUUGUUGGUGGGGUAGUGGCUUACCAAGGCUUUGACGGGUAGCCGGCCUGAGAGGGUGACCGGCCACAUUGGGACUGAGAUACGGCCCAGACUCCUACGGGAGGCAGCAGUGGGGAAUAUUGCACAAUGGGCGGAAGCCUGAUGCAGCAACGCCGCGUGCGGGAUGACGGCCUUCGGGUUGUAAACCGCUUUCGCCUGUGACGAAGCGUGAGUGACGGUAAUGGGUAAAGAAGCACCGGCUAACUACGUGCCAGCAGCCGCGGUGAUACGUAGGGUGCGAGCGUUGUCCGGAUUUAUUGGGCGUAAAGGGCUCGUAGGUGGUUGAUCGCGUCGGAAGUGUAAUCUUGGGGCUUAACCCUGAGCGUGCUUUCGAUACGGGUUGACUUGAGGAAGGUAGGGGGGAAUGGAAUUCCUGGUGGAGCGGUGGAAUGCGCAGAUAUCAGGAGGAACACCAGUGGCGAAGGCGGUUCUCUGGGCCUUUCCUGACGCUGAGGAGCGAAAGCGUGGGGAGCGAACAGGCUUAGAUACCCUGGUAGUCCACGCUGUAAACGGUGGGUACUAGGUGUGGGGUCCAUUCCACGGGUUCCGUGCCGUAGCUAACGCUUUAAGUACCCCGCCUGGGGAGUACGGCCGCAAGGCUAAAACUCAAAGGAAUUGACGGGGCCCCGCACAAGCGGCGGAGCAUGCGGAUUAAUUCGAUGCAACGCGUAGAACCUUACCUGGGUUUGACAUGGAUCGGGAGUGCUCAGAGAUGGGUGUGCCUCUUUUGGGGUCGGUUCACAGGUGGUGCAUGGCUGUCGUCAGCUCGUGUCGUGAGAUGUUGGGUUAAGUCCCGCAACGAGCGCAACCCUUGUUCACUGUUGCCAGCACGUUAUGGUGGGGACUCAGUGGAGACCGCCGGGGUCAACUCGGAGGAAGGUGGGGAUGACGUCAAGUCAUCAUGCCCCUUAUGUCCAGGGCUUCACGCAUGCUACAAUGGCUGGUACAGAGAGUGGCGAGCCUGUGAGGGUGAGCGAAUCUCGGAAAGCCGGUCUCAGUUCGGAUUGGGGUCUGCAACUCGACCUCAUGAAGUCGGAGUCGCUAGUAAUCGCAGAUCAGCAACGCUGCGGUGAAUACGUUCCCGGGGCU